AACACAAACAAGGCCUGAAAGCGUGGAUUUCAGCUUUGGCAUUUACUACAUUGCAAUGGAUGUCUCCUCCGACCACUCCAGCAGAGCACCAGUGUCCUGCUGUAAAGGUGUAUAAACCCAGGAAAAAGACACAAAGACAAGCCUUGAGCACAGAUCAGUUCAGCUGGUGCAAUAAGCAGAGGGCAGCAGCCCAUGCCAGCAUGGAAAAACCAUGGGGAGAAGCAAGGGCUGAGCAGAAGGUGCUCGCAGAGGUCAUCAGAGGUAACUGAUUAGCUCAGAAGCAACCAGGAAAGGAAGAGCUAUUCUUAUGUCCAUUCAAUAUUCAGUAGUAUCAGAUGAAAAGCCAA